AGGACUAUAUUUUCAGGGUUCAUUUCUAUAGUUCAUUACUAAAGAAGUUCCUCUGAACAUGUAGAGCACUGGAGACCACAAGAAGGAGAUGCAGUGAUCUUUCCUGAGUGUGAAGCUGGCACUUGCUGGUAUUUUGCUGCAACCGCUGUUUAACGUUGAUGAUAGUUCUUCUUUUCGUCCAGGAGAAUAAGAAAGAAAGGACACAAACAAA
rnacentral:snoRNA from 1 species